GUAGGGAAUCUUCCACAAUGGACGAAAGUCUGAUGGAGCAACGCCGCGUGAGUGAAGAAGGGUUUCGGCUCGUAAAGCUCUGUUGUCGGGGACGAAUGUGCAGUAUUUGAAUAAAGUAUUGCAAUGACGGUACCUGACGAGGAAGCCACGGCUAACUACGUGCCAGCAGCCGCGGUAAUACGUAGGUGGCAAGCGUUGUCCGGAAUUAUUGGGCUGAAAGGGAGCGCAGGCGGGAAGGUAAGUCGGUCUUUAAAGUGCGGGGCUCAACCCCGUGAUGGGAUCGAAACUAUCUUUCUUGAGUGCAGGAGAGGAAAGUGGAAUUCCUAGUGUAGCGGUGAAAUGCGUAGAUAUUAGGAGGAACACCAGUGGCGAAGGCGACUUUCUGGACUGUAACUGACGCUGAGGCUCGAAAGCCAGGGGAGCGAACGGGAUUAGAUACCCCAGUAGUCC
rnacentral:rRNA from 1 species